GCCUCCCAAAUUGCUGGGAUGACAGACGUGAACCACCGUGCCUGGCCGACAGUCACCUUUAGAAUGUGAACAGUGGACACUGUGUUGGGGUCUCCUACCUGUGCCUGUGAUGUGGACUGGCCCAUCUCGUCAUGGACAAGUAGAGAUGGGGUUUCACCAUGUUGAGCAGUCUGGUCUUGAACUUCUGACCUCGUGAUCCACCCGCCUCAGCCCCCCAAAGUGCUGGGAUUACAGGCGUGAGCCACCGCGCCCGGCCUGAGACGGCUUUCCAAGGCUGCAGAAAUGAAGUCUGCAAUAGCAGAUCCUCUUUGCCUGGGUUUGCACGUGAUCCAGCAAACCACCCACCGACCCGUUGCCUCAUGUGAGACAUCCUCAGGGAACAGCAAGUCUCGCUGUUCUUGGAAGGGACUUCCAGCCUGGAAAGAAAAGGGAGGGAUAAGAGAGC
rnacentral:lncRNA from 10 species